AACGUAGGUGGCGAGCGUUAUCCGGAUUUACUGGGCGUAAAGCGUGUGCAGGCGGCUUAUCAAGUGGUGUAUGAAAUAUCCAGGCUCAACCUGGAGGGGUUAUGCCAGACUGGUAGGCUAGAGUGCGAGAGAGGGGCGUGGAAUUCCGGGUGUAGUGGCGAAAUGCGUAGAGAUCCGGAGGAACCCCAGAGGCGAAGGCGGCGCCCUGGCUCGACACUGACGCUCAGACACGACAGCAUGGGGAGCGAACGGG
rnacentral:rRNA from 1 species